rnacentral:rRNA from 1 species
UACGGAGGGGGCUAGCGUUGUUCGGAAUUACUGGGCGUAAAGCGCACGUAGGCGGCUUUGUAAGUUAGAGGUGAAAGCCCAGGGCUUAACCCUGGAAUUGCCUUUAAGACUGCAUCGCUAGAAUCGUGGAGAGGUAAGUGGAAUUCCGAGUGUAGAGGUGAAAUUCGUAGAUAUUCGCAAGAACACCAGUGGCGAAGGCGGCUCACUGGCCCGGAACUGACGCUGAGGCACGAAAGCGUGGGGAGCAAACAGG